GUGAUUCUUUAAAGCCUCUGCGAAAGCAUCUGCCCCCCCGUCACCGAUGGAAUUACCCCACAUUCUACAAACAAGCAAACACACAUUUACUCGCUUCCAGUGUUGGCCUGUUCACAACUGGUCUAUGAAAAAAAACACUUCUACACUGUUCUACAGGGACAAUAACAGCACACAGGGCAAAUCCACAUCCAUGAGCUUCUUCUGCGGUUACUGGGGUGACGGGUGGAUUUGAGUUUCCCACGAGGACAGCGCCAGGAAUCAAACUCUUAACUAAUGUAACCACCUUUAUAUCAGUCCUGUUUCUUCAAUCACUCCGUAUGCCUCUGAAACCAAUUUGAACCCUAUAAAGAGCUGAAGAAACGGGAUUAACAUGCUGCACACGCUUCUGGAAGCGCAGGAAAUAUCCAGAACUGUUGUCAAUGUGGACAGACACUGAACUGACGUUUUUUUUAGAGUACACAACACGAGGUCAGUGUUCCUCCCACGCAGCGUUGACGUGUCAGCGUGUCGUUUACUGCGCUGAAGAUUUACAAGAUGCCUUCUAGUCACUUCCACCUCGAGCUGAAUUGAAUUCCCGUGGAGCUGAAGUGCAGCCCUGUUUAAGCUCUUUGGUUUAGAAGUUAAAACCUUACGCAGGUUAAUCAAAUGCCAGUGUGUUACAAACGUGCAGUCAUUGUGUGUUCAUAACAAACCUCCAGAGGGAGUCGUAGAGUCAAACCUGCUAAAUAAACCAGAUCAUCACAGUACCAGUGUUGGGUGUAACUAGUUACUAAGUAAUUAGUGACUGUAAUUUAAUGACGUUUCCCUUAAAAAAGUAAAGUAAGGGAUUACUCUUAUUUUGUCUGUUAUUUAAUUACAGUUACUUCUGAUGUAAUUGAACUAAAUACUGUGUAAUGUAUUCAAAAGUGGAAUUAACAUUAAAACUCAGUCUAACUUUCAAAUGCAUGUAUUAAUGUAUAAUUCUCACAUUUGUAGUA